AGGACGAACGCUGGCGGCGUGCUUAACACAUGCAAGUCGAGCGGUGAUCCUCCUUCGGGAGGUGAUCAGCGGCGAACGGGUGAGUAACACGUGGGCAACCUGCCCCUCACACUGGGAUAACCUCGGGAAACCGGGGCUAAUACCGGAUACGACCUCGAGCGGCAUCUCUUGAGGUGGAAAGCUCCGACGGUGAGGGAUGGGCCCGCGGCCUAUCAGCUUGUUGGUGGGAUAAUGGCCUACCAAGGCGACGACGGGUA
rnacentral:rRNA from 1 species